UGAUUAUACCCAUUCUUUUCAUUUGUUGAUUGCUUGUAACCAUUAUCAACCUCUUCUUCAUCUUUAUAUAAUCUUGCAUCAAUAGUAUGACUCAUUCUAGCUUUGUCCAUUAAUUGCCUCUUUUGCUUAAUGUUGUCAAUGAUAACAUCAUAAAACUCCUUCUUUGCAAUUUCUAAAAUUUCUUUCAAUGUGAAUUCCACCUUAGCAUUUAAUAUGCAUUCUUUCAACAC
rnacentral:lncRNA from 1 species